rnacentral:rRNA from 1 species
GCUUCUGAAGAAUCAUUUGAGCUACUUAGUGGCGGACGGGUGAGUAACGCGUGGGUAACCUGCCUCACACAGGGGGAUAACAGUUGGAAACGACUGUUAAUACCGCAUAAGCGCACAGUAUCGCAUGGUACAGUGUGAAAAACUCCGGUGGUGUGAGAUGGACCCGCGUCUGAUUAGCUAGUUGGUGAGGUAACGGCCCACCAAGGCGACGAUCAGUAGCCGGCCUGAGAGGGUGUACGGCCACACUGGGACUGAGACACGGCCCAAACUCCUACGGGAGGCAGCAGUGGGGAAUAUUGGACAAUGGGGGAAACCCUGAUCCAGCGACGCCGCGUGAGUUAAGAAGUAUCUCGGUAUGUAAAGCUCUAUCAGCAGGGAAGAUAAUGACGGUACCUGACUAAGAAGCACCGGCUAAAUACGUGCCAGCAGCCGCGGUAAUACGUAUGGUGCAAGCGUUAUCCGGAUUUACUGGGUGUAAAGGGUGCGUAGGUGGCAUGGUAAGUCAGAUGUGAAAACUAUGGGCUCAACCCAUAGACUGCAUUUGAAACUGCCGAGCUAGAGUGCAGGAGAGGAAAGUGGAAUUCCUAGUGUAGCGGUUAAAUGCGUAGAUAUUAGGAGGAACACCAGUGGCGAAGGCGGCUUUCUGGACUGUUACUGACACUGAGGCACGA